rnacentral:rRNA from 1 species
AGCUCAGCAUUGGGUAUAAAGUGUGCGUAGGUGGGUUGGUAAGUCAGUGGUGAAAUCUUCGAGCUUAACUCGGAAACUGCCAUUGAUACUAUCAGUCUUGAAUAUUGUGGAGGUUAGCGGAAUAUGUCAUGUAGCGGUGAAAUGCUUAGAUAUGACAUAGAACACCAAUUGCGAAGGCAGCUGGCUACACAUAUAUUGACACUGAGGCACGAAAGCGUGGGGAUCAAACAGGAUUAGAUACCCUGGUAGUCCACGCCCUAAACUAUGGAUACUCGACAUACGCGAUACACUGUGUGUGUCUGAGCGAAAGCAUUAAGUAUCCCACCUGGGAAGUACGAUCGCAAGAUUGAAACUUAAAGGAAUUGACGG